GUGUCAGCCGCCGCGGUAAUACAGAGACUGCAAGCGUUGUUCGGAUUCACUGGGCGUAAAGGGUGCGCAGGCGGCCAAGUGUGUCAGGUGUGAAAGCUCGAGGCUUAACCUCGAAACUGCGCCUGAAACUAUUUGGCUAGAGUACUGGAGAGGGAAGUGGAAUUCACGGUGUAGCAGUGAAAUGCGUAGAUAUCGUGAGGAACACCAAUGGCGAAGGCAACUUCCUGGACAGUUACUGACGCUCAGGCACGAAAGCGUGGGGAGCAAAAGGGAUUAGAUACCCGCGUAGUCC
rnacentral:rRNA from 1 species